rnacentral:miRNA from 1 species
CCCAGGGCAGAGCAGUGUGAA